GAGCCAAGGGAGAUGUUACGGACUGAAUUGUGUCUCCCAAGACUUCAUACGUUAAAGCCCUAACACCCAAUGUGACUGGAUUUGGAGACAGGGCCUUUAAAGGAGAGAAAAGGCCAUGUGGAGACACGAUGAAAAGCCCCCCUCCGCAAGCUGAGGAGAGAGACCUCACCAGAACCAGACCAUGCAGGCACGUUGAUCCUGCACUUCCAGCCUCCAGAACUCCUCGGGGCCAGUCAUGAAAGGGAGCUGGGUCCAGAUGUGCUGCGAGGGUCCAGAUGUGCUUCGAGGGUCCAGCAUAGGAGGAUUGUCAGGCCAGCUGGGGGAAAGGCUGUACUAUUGGCCCAUUUCAAAGCUGAAGAAAUUGAAGCCCAGAGAUGCAACACGGCUUGCCCAAGCUCACUCCAGGAUUUAACAUUGUCAGGAUCUGGUGCCCCAUGUCCUGUCCUGCCUGGUCAAGGCUCUGCCCUGCUGCCCAUCCCACUGCCAUCUCCCUCUAUCCCAUAACCCCCAGCUCACUGCUGAUGGUGACUGAUGGUGAAAGAUGACUAAGACAUAGUCUUCACCCUCUGGCUAAGAUCACAACUGCAGAUCUAUGUAACCAGUUGUCACUGCCCAUGACAGACAUUGCUAAUCAGUCACAGCAUUCUUCCUGCUGAGAGCCCAGAUUACUAGUCCUUUGAGAUUUAGAUAAAAAUGGACUGGAAUUUCCUAUCUCACAUCUUGAAGAAAUCCAGUGAUGGCCCCAAGAUUUCCUCAAAUUCCAGUGACUUGCAAAGUUGUGCUUAUUUCCAGCCCCAAUUUUCUCCUCCCAGCACACCUUUUGUCUCUCCUCUGCUCACCUUUCCUCUCUGCCCAGUGCCAAGCCAGGCAACCCUGUGCCAACUUCAUGUUCAGUAUGCGGGUUAUUUUACUGACGUUGAAGGAGACAGGGGUUUUAUCAUAGCAAAGUAAAGGGGAGCAAGUUGAAUAAUGGCUAGUCCUGCUCUUCAGGGUCCUUCAGCCACCAGCGCCGGCCACUGCUCUUCUCAGGCUCUCCCAUUUUAUGGAUCACCCCUACACUUCAAGAUGAUGCUCAAAUAUUU